rnacentral:rRNA from 1 species
UUGACCUCGGAUCAGGUAGGAAUACCCGCUGAACUUAAGCAUAUCAAUAAGCGGAGGAAAAGAAACCAACAGGGAUUGCCCCAGUAACGGCGAGUGAAGCGGCAACAGCUCAAAUUUGAAAUCUGGCCCCUCCGGGUCCGAGUUGUAAUUUGUAGAGGAUGCUUUUGGUGAGGUGCCGCCCGAGUUCCCUGGAACGGGACGCCGCAGAGGGUGAGAGCCCCGUCUGGCUGGCCACCGAGCCUCUGUAAAGCUCCUUCGACGAGUCGAGUAGUUUGGGAAUGCUGCUCAAAAUGGGAGGUAUAUGUCUUCUAAAGCUAAAUACUGGCCAGAGACCGAUAGCGCACAAGUAGAGUGAUCGAAAGAUGAAAAGCACCUUGAAAAGAGGGUUAAAUAGUACGUGAAAUUGUUGAAAGGGAAGCGCUUGUGACCAGACUUGGGCGCGGCGGAUCAUCCGGGGUUCUCCCCGGUGCACUUCUCCGCGUCCAGGCCAGCAUCAGUUCGUCGCGGGGGAAAAAGGCUUCGGGAACGUGGCUCCCCCGGGAGUGUUAUAGCCCGUUGCACAAUACCCUGCGGUGGACUGAGGACCGCGCAUCUGCAAGGAUGCUGGCGUAAUGGUCACCAGCGACCCGUCUUGAAACACGGACCAAGGAGUCGUCUUCGUAUGCGAGUGUUCGGGUGUCAAACCCCUACGCGUAAUGAAAGUGAACGCAGGUGAGAGCUUCGGCGCAUCAUCGACCGAUCCUGAUGUUCUCGGAUGGAUUUGAGUAAGAGCAUACGGGGCCGGACCCGAAAGAAGGUGAACUAUGCCUGUAUAGGGUGAAGCCAGAGGAAACUCUGGUGGAGGCUCGCAGCGGUUCUGACGUGCAAAUCGAUCGUCAAAUAUGGGCAUGGGGGCGAAAGACUAAUCGAC